AGGACAAAGCAUGAAAUUCAAUAUUUUCACCAUGACAAAUCCAUGAAAUUUAUCAGCCUAGCCUGAGCUCUGCACAGCAUAUUCUUCGCUCAGUCCCUAUCUUCUUGGAAGGUGUCCUGUUACAUUGGCUUCCUGAUAUUGGAUUGGACAUGCAGGCUCUACCUGUUUGUUUCCUGCUCUUAUCAUCCAGCCCAGGAAACUGGAUCCACUUCCUCCCAAUCCAUCUGCAAGUUCAGCUUAACCAUGACUUAAUACAGAGCUUCCCACUCCACUUCAUUGGCUGCUGCUGGAAGAGGGGUGGUGAAAUUCUGAGAGUGAUGGCCUCACCUCACAGCGUUUCAUUUUAGUGGACAUUAACAAUGAGAUGUGGGGCUACACCUUCUGGCUCUUGUUUUAUCUAGUUUGGCCCUAAGAGGUGAUGUCCUUCUCUUUUCCUUCAUUGCACUCAGUGACACUUUUUCAGAAGAAAAGGCAAUAAUCAGAGAUAUCUAUCAUGGUAAUUCUUGCUACAGCUCAGUCUAAUCACCUUGAAGUCAAC